rnacentral:misc_RNA from 1 species
UCGAGUGUUAGGGUCCUCCGGGGCCCGACCUCCAACCCUAUGUCUAUCGUACCACGUUGCUUCGGCGGGCCCGUCCCCUGGUACUCCAGGUGGACCGCCGGGGGGUCGUCCGACCCCCGGGCCCGUGCCCGCCGGUGGCCAACUUCUUAAACUCGAUUAGAACGGUGUCGCCUGAAUGUACAAACAAAUAAAACAA